GCAGUGGGGAAUAUUGCACAAUGGGGGAAACCCUGAUGCAGCGACGCCGCGUGAGUGAAGAAGUAUUUCGGUAUGUAAAGCUCUAUCAGCAGGGAAGAAAAAAGACGGUACCUGACUAAGAAGCCCCGGCUAACUACGUGCCAGCAGCCGCGGUAAUACGUAGGGGGCAAGCGUUAUCCGGAAUUACUGGGUGUAAAGGGUGCGUAGGUGGCAUGGUAAGUCAGAAGUGAAAGCCCGGGGCUUAACCCCGGGACUGCUUUUGAAACUGUCAUGCUGGAGUGCAGGAGAGGUAAGCGGAAUUCCUAGUGUAGCGGUGAAAUGCGUAGAUAUUAGGAGGAACACCAGUGGCGAAGGCGGCUUACUGGACUGUCACUGACACUGAUGCACGAAAGCGUGGGGAGCAAACAGGAUUAGAUACCCUGGUAGUCCACGCCGUAAA
rnacentral:rRNA from 1 species